rnacentral:rRNA from 1 species
GUCGGGAAUUUUGCACAAUGGGCGCAAGCCUGAUGCAGCAACGCCGCGUGAGUGAAGAAGGCUCUUGGGUUGUAAAGCUCUUUCGGCCAAGAAGAAGGGUCUACUUGCGAACAGUCUGUAGAUCUGACGGUAUUGGAAGAAGAAGCACCUGCUAACUUCGUGCCAGCAGCAGCGGUAAUACGGAGGGGGCUAGCGUUGUUCGGAAUUACUGGGCGUAAAGCGCGCGUAGGCGGCUUUGUAAGUCAGAGGUGAAAGCCUGGAGCUCAACUCCAGAACUGCCUUUGAGACUGCAUCGCUAGAAUCAUGGAGAGGUUAGUGGAAUUCCGAGCGUAGAGGUGAAAUUCGUAGAUAUUCGGAAGAACACCAGUGGCGAAGGCGACUAACUGGACAUGUAUUGACGCUGAGGUGCGAAAGCGUGGGGAGCAAA